rnacentral:rRNA from 1 species
CUAUGGUAAUAAUAGUUAUGUUCUUGAAACCCAAAGAAUUUGGCGGUAUUUUAUUCUUUUUAGAGGAACCUGUCCUGUAAUUGAUAACCCACGAUGGAGAGUUACUUAUUUUUGUUUCCAUUUUGUAUACCUCCGUCAUCAGAAUAUCUUUUUAGAGAAAAUAUUCUAAUAACACUAAAUGAGAUAUGUCAGGUCAAGGUGCAAUUUAUGAAUAAGUAGAGAUGGGUUACAAUAAAAAUAUUUAUACGGAUUAUAAUUAUUAUCUAUUUAUAUGAAGGUGGAUUUAAAAGUAAAAUUGUUUACUUAUCAAUUUGAUUUUAGCUCUAAAAUAUGCACACAUCGCCCGUCGCUCUUAUUUUAAAAUAAGAUAAGUCGUAACAUAGUAGAUGUACCGGAAGGUGUAUCUAGUA